AGUGGCGGACGGGUGAGUAACGCGUGGGUAACCUGCCCUGUACAGGGGGAUAACAGUCAGAAAUGACUGCUAAUACCGCAUAAGACCACAGCACCGCAUGGUGCAGGGGUAAAAACUCCGGUGGUAUAAGAUGGACCCGCGUUGGAUUAGCUGGUUGGUGAGGUAACGGCUCACCAAGGCGACGAUCCAUAGCCGGCCUGAGAGGGUGAACGGCCACAUUGGGACUGAGACACGGUCCAGACUCCUACGGGAGGCAGCAGUGGGGAAUAUUGCACAAUGGGGGAAACCCUGAUGCAGCGACGCCGCGUGAAGGAAGAAGUAUCUCGGUAUGUAAACUUCUAUCAGCAGGGAAGAUAGUGACGGUACCUGACUAAGAAGCCCCGGCUAACUACGUGCCAGCAGCCGCGGUAAUACGUAGGGGGCAAGCGUUAUCCGGAUUUACUGGGUGUAAAGGGAGCGUAGACGGACUGGCAAGUCUGAUGUGAAAGGCGGGGGCUCAACCCCUGGACUGCAUUGGAAACUGUUAGUCUUGAGUGCCGGAGAGGUAAGCGGAAUUCCUAGUGUAGCGGUGAAAUGCGUAGAUAUUAGGAGGAACACCAGUGGCGAAGGCGGCUUACUGG
rnacentral:rRNA from 1 species